rnacentral:rRNA from 1 species
AGCAGCGGACGGGUGAGUAAUGCACAAGGACUUGUCCUACAGAGAGGGACAACUACGGGAAACCGUAGCUAAUACCUCAUACGCCGAGAGGUGAAAGCAGCAAUGCGCUGAAGGAGAGACUUGUGUCCUAUCAGGUAGUUGGCGAGGUAAAAGCUCACCAAGCCUAAGACGGGUAGCCGGACUGAGAGGUCGUACGGCCACAUUGGAACUGAGACACGGUCCAGACUCCUACGGGAGGCAGCAGUGGGGAAUAUUGGGCAAUGGGCGCAAGCCUGACCCAGCGACGCCGCGUGAGGGAAGACGGCCCUAGGGUUGUAAACCUCUGUUGCAGGGGAAGAAACAAAUGACGGUACCCUGCGAGGAAGCUCCGGCUAACUACGUGCCAGCAGCCGCGGUAAUACGUAGGGAGCGAGCGUUGUCCGGAAUUACUGGGCGUAAAGGGCGCGUAGGCGGUCAUGCAAGUCAUCUGUCAAAUCGUGGGGCUUAACCCCAUCCCGCAGAUGAAACUGCAUGACUGGAGGCACAGAGAGGCAGACGGAAUUCCUAGUGUAGCGGUGAAAUGCGUAGAUAUUAGGAAGAACACCGGUGGCGAAGGCGGUCUGCUGGCUGUGAACUGACGCUGAAGCGCGAAAGCCAGGGGAGCAAACGGGAUUAGAUACCCCGGUAGUCCUGGCAGUAAACGAUGUAUGCUAGGUGUGGGCGUAGCGAUACGUCCGUGCCUAAGUUAACGCGAUAAGCAUACCGCCUGGGGAGUACGGUCGCAAGAUUGAAACUCAAAGGAAUUGACGGGGGCCCGCACAAGCGGUGGAGCACAUGGUUUAAUUCGAUGCAAACCGAAGAACCUUACCUAGGCUUGACAUACAGGUAGUACUGAAUUGAAAGAGGAAGGAUCUUGCCUUCGGGCAAGAAGCCUGAACAGGUGCUGCAUGGCUGUCGUCAGCUCGUGUCGUGAGAUGUUGGGUUAAGUCCCAUAACGAGCGCAACCCUUAUUGUUAGUUGCUACGCAAGAGCACUCUAGCGAGACUGCCGUUGACAAAACGGAGGAAGGUGGGGACGACGUCAAAUCAUCAUGCCCCUUAUGUCCUGGGCUACACACGUAAUACAAUGGCGUUUAACAGAGGGAAGCAAAACCGCGAGGUGGAGCAAAUCCCUAAAAGGCGUCUCAGUUCGGAUCGCAGGCUGCAACCCGCCUGCGUGAAGUCGGAAUUGCUAGUAAUCGCGGAUCAGCAUGCCGCGGUGAAUACGUUCCCGGGCCUUGCACACACCGCCCGUCA